AUUGAACGCUGGCGGCAUGCCUUACACAUGCAAGUCGAACGGUAACAGGUCUUCGGAUGCUGACGAGUGGCGAACGGGUGAGUAAUACAUCGGAACGUGCCCGAUCGUGGGGGAUAACGCAGCGAAAGCUGUGCUAAUACCGCAUACGAUCUACGGAUGAAAGCGGGGGAUCGCAAGACCUCGCGCGGACGGAGCGGCCGAUGGCAGAUUAGGUAGUUGGUGGGAUAAAAGCUUACCAAGCCGACGAUCUGUAGCUGGUCUGAGAGGACGACCAGCCACACUGGGACUGAGACACGGCCCAGACUCCUACGGGAGGCAGCAGUGGGGAAUUUUGGACAAUGGGGAACCCUGAUCCAGCCAUGCCGCGUGCAGGAUGAAGGCCUUCGGUUGUAACUGCUUUGUACGGACGAAAGGUACUUCUAAUAAAGUAGGACGUCAUGACGGUACCGUAAGAAUAAGCAACCGGCUAACUACGUAGCCAGCAGCCGCGGUAAACUCGG
rnacentral:rRNA from 1 species